rnacentral:rRNA from 1 species
GAUGYCCGGCGCCAUGGCGCGGGAUUACGGRRGCAGCAGUGGGRAAUUCGCAAUGGGCGAAACUGACCACACCCCGUGGGUGAUAAGGCCUCGGGCGAAAACCCUGUCGGGUGAACAAUCCCCACCCCUCGAAUACAGGGGUGGUUGACGGUACCACCGAAGAAGCCCCGGCUAACUACGUGCCAGCAGCCGCGGUAAUACGUAGGGGGCGAGCGUUGUUCGGAUUUACUGGGCGUAAAGAGCGCGUAGGUGGUUCGAUCAGUCGGAGGUGAAAUCCCUCGGCUCAACCGAGGACCCGCGUCCGAUACUGUCGAACUUGAGUGCAGGAGAGGAGAGCGGAGUUCCCAGUGUAGCGUGAAAUGCGUAGAUAUUGGGAGGAACACCGGUGGCGAAGGCGGCUCUCUGGACUGCUACUGACACUGAGGCGCGAAAGCUAGGGGAGCAAACGGGAUUAGAUACCCCGGUAGUCCUAGCCGUAAACGAUGGGCAYAGGUGUGGGAGGUAUCGACCCCUUCCGUGCCGCAGCUAACGCA